rnacentral:rRNA from 1 species
UACGGGGGAGCAAGCGUUGUUCGGAUUUACUGGGCGUAAAGGGCGCGUAGGCGGCGCAACAAGUCACUUGUGAAAUCUCCGGGCUUAACCCGGAGCGGCCAAGUGAUACUGUCGUGCUAGAGUGCGGAAGGGGCUACUGGAAUUCUCGGUGUAGCGGUGAAAUGCGUAGAUAUCGAGAGGAACACCUGCGGCGAAGGCGGGUAGCUGGGCCGACACUGACGCUGAAGCGCGAAAGCCAGGGGAGCGAACGGG